AUGCAAGAUUCAUCUAUAACCCAUCAGACUAUGGUUUCAGUGUCAAAUGCUGAGCGGAAUAAAUCUUCCAUACCUUUGCUUCAAGCUUCCAGCAUUGCUACUCCAAAGAAGGCUGAUAACGGGUCUUCCAAAUCUUCGCAUAAUCUCAGCUCUUCUCAAAACCAAGUUUUUGCUCAUAAGAGGAAGAUGACAUCUUCAGUUGAAAAUUCCAAGACUACUCCAAAAAUAUCUUAUUGCAGCUGCCCAGGCAAAGUGGAAAAAGGCUCAUUAUUAGUAUCUUUCUUCUGA